AGCGUUACCUUGCUGAAAAGGACUAUGGCGAAAAACUUCUCCCUCUGACCAAAAUCUGGCAUGACAAGUGCGUCGCUAUAACUGGAGCAACCCAGGCUCAAAUUGACGAAACGAAAAAUGGAAAUUUUGAAGGCAAAGAAAAUUUGAAGAGAUAUGUUGUAUGCGUGUGGAUUCUCUCGGAUGUGGUGAGUAGAAUAUGUCAAUUCAAAUUC